GAUGAACGCUGGCGGCGUGCCUAAUACAUGCAAGUCGAGCGAACAGACGAGGAGCUUGCUCCUCUGACGUUAGCGGCGGACGGGUGAGUAACACGUGGAUAACCUACCUAUAAGACUGGGAUAACUUCGGGAAACCGGAGCUAAUACCGGAUAAUAUAUUGAACCGCAUGGUUCAAUAGUGAAAGACGGUUUUGCUGUCACUUAUAGAUGGAUCCGCGCCGCAUUAGCUAGUUGGUAAGGUAACGGCUUACCAAGGCAACGAUGCGUAGCCGACCUGAGAGGUUGAUCGGCGACACUGGAACUGAGACACGGUCCAGACUCCUACGGGAGGCAGCAGUAGGGAAUCUUCCGCAAUGGGCGAAAGCCUGACGGAGCAACGCCGCGUGAGUGAUGAAGGUCUUCGGAUCGUAAAACUCUGUUAUUAGGGAAGAACAAAUGUGUAAGUAACUAUGCACGUCUUGACGGUACCUAAUCAGAAAGCCACGGCUAACUACGUG
rnacentral:rRNA from 1 species